rnacentral:rRNA from 1 species
UGGGGAAUAUUGGACAAUGGGCGCAAGCCUGAUCCAGCCAUGCCGCGUGAGUGACGAAGGCCUUCGGGUUGUAAAACUCUUUCGCCGAGGACGAUAAUGACGGUACUCGGAGAAGAAGCUCCGGCUAACUUCGUGCCAGCAGCCGCGGUAAUACGAAGGGGGCUAGCGUUGUUCGGAUUUACUGGGCGUAAAGCGCGUGUAGGCGGGUCGUUAAGUUGGGGGUGAAAUCCCGAGGCUCAACCUCGGAACUGCCUCCAAAACUGGCGACCUGGAGCAAGAUAGAGGCGAGUGGAAUUCCGAGUGUAGAGGUGAAAUUCGUAGAUAUUCGGAGGAACACCAGUGGCGAAGGCGACUCGCUGGAUCUUUGCUGACGCUGAGACGCGAAAGCGUGGGGAGCAAACAGGAUUAGAUACCCACGUAGUCCCUGAGCGGGCUGGCAAGGCGCAU